rnacentral:rRNA from 1 species
ACACGGCCCCAGAACUCCUACGGGGAGGCAGCAGUGGGGNAUAUUGCACAAUGGGCGAAAGCCUGAUGCAGCGACGCCGCGUGAGGGAUGACGGCCUUCGGGUUGUAAACCUCUUUCAGUAGGGAAGAAGCGAAAGUGACGGUACCUGCAGAAGAAGCGCCGGCUAACUACGUGCCAGCAGCCGCGGUAAUACGUAGGGCGCAAGCGUUAUCCGGAAUUAUUGGGCGUAAAGAGCUCGUAGGCGGUUUGUCGCGUCUGCCGUGAAAGUCCGGGGCUCAACUCCGGAUCUGCGGUGGGUACGGGCAGACUAGAGUGAUGUAGGGGAGACUGGAAUUCCUGGUGUAGCGGUGAAAUGCGCAGAUAUCAGGAGGAACACCGAUGGCGAAGGCAGGUCUCUGGGCAUUAACUGACGCUGAGGAGCGAAAGCAUGGGGAGCGAACAGGAUUAGAUACCCUGGUAGUCCAUGCCGUAAACGUUGGGCACUAGGUGUGGGGGACAUUCCACGUUUUCCGCGCCGAUAGCUAACGCAUUAAGUGUCCUC